rnacentral:rRNA from 1 species
UACAGAGGGGGCAAGCGUUAUUCGGAAUCACUGGGCGUAAAGGGCGCGUAGGCGGCCUGGUAAGUAGGGGGUGAAAUCCUGCGGCUUAACCGCAGGGCUGCCUUCUAAACUGUCAGGCUCGAGCACGGUAGAGGCAGAUGGAAUUCCCGGUGUAGCGGUGGAAUGCGUAGAGAUCGGGAAGAACAUCAGUGGCGAAGGCGGUCUGCUGGGCCGUUGCUGACGCUGAGGCGCGACAGCGUGGGGAGCAAACAGG